GCCGCGGUAAUACGGAGGGUGCAAGCGUUAAUCGGAAUUACUGGGCGUAAAGCGCACGCAGGCGGUCUGUCAAGUCGGAUGUGAAAUCCCCGGGCUCAACCUGGGAACUGCAUUCGAAACUGGCAGGCUAGAGUCUUGUAGAGGGGGGUAGAAUUCCAGGUGUAGCGGUGAAAUGCGUAGAGAUCUGGAGGAAUACCGGUGGCGAAGGCGGCCCCCUGGACAAAGACUGACGCUCAGGUGCGAAAGCGUGGGGAGCACACAGGAUUAGAUACCCUGGUAGUCCACGCCGUAAACGAUGUCGACUUGGAGGUUGUGCCCUUGAGGCGUGGCUUCCGGAGCUAACGCGUUAAGUCGACCGCCUGGGGAGUACGGCCGCAAGGUUAAAACUCAAAUGAAUUGACGGGGGCCCGCACAAGCGGUGGAGCAUGUGGUUUAAUUCGAUGCAACGCGAAGAACCUUACCUACUCUUGACAUCCAGAGAACUUUCCAGAGAUGGAUUGGUGCCUUCGGGAACUCUGAGACAGGUGCUGCAUGGCUGUCGUCAGCUCGUGUUGUGAAAUGUUGGGUUAAGUCCCGCAACGAGCGCAACCCUUAUCCUUUGUUGCCAGCGGUCCGGCCGGGAACUCAAAGGAGACUGCCAGUGAUAAACUGGAGGAAGGUGGGGAUGACGUCAAGUCAUCAUGGCCCUUACGAGUAGGGCUACACACGUGCUACAAUGGCGCAUACAAAGAGAAGCGACCUCGCGAGAGCAAGCGGACCUCAUAAAGUGCGUCGUAGUCCGGAUUGGAGUCUGCAACUCGACUCCAUGAAGUCGGAAUCGCUAGUAAUCGUAGAUCAGAAUGCUACGGUGAAUACGUUCCCGGGCCUUGUACACACCGCCCGUCACACCAUGGGAGUGGG
rnacentral:rRNA from 1 species